AAUAGAUGACGCCGUUGACUUUUUCUCAUAUGUUUGACCAUUCGUCUUAUUAAAAAAAUUAUGUAAUUAUAAUUUAUUUUGUUAUGAGUUAUCACUCAUAGUACUUUUAAGUGUGAUUUAUAUCUUAUACAUUUGCAUAAAAUUUUUGAAUAAAACGAAUGGUCAAACAUGUGAGAAAAAGUCAACGACGUCAUCUAUU
rnacentral:pre_miRNA from 1 species